rnacentral:miRNA from 1 species
AUGUUCGGGAUGCGGUUUUCU